CUCUUUGCCAGUUGUGGGCAGUGUUUGGUCCCUGGCCUGCAUGUGAUGGCGUUGCUUAGCUCACUGCGGUGGAUCCUUUGUGGUGUCUGCUCUUGGGCUGGAGAAGUGAAAUGGCGUCACCAACUACUUCCUCCCUGGUAUCAGAACUCUGUGCUCUUGAAGACUGGCAAUCAAGCACCCCUCCUUUGUCUCCAACUUCCGUCCAUUUCCUGCUACCAAACUGUAUCUGACCAAGCUAUCAGCCUGCCAGGUGGCACCUUCUUCCCGUGUUUUAUCUCACAUGGGGUUGUGUUUCCAAACCCCUCUCUUCUGAGGGCUCUGCAGCUUUGACCCACUCAGACCCUCCUGGGGGAGGGUCUCGCUGAGCAGUGGCUGGGUGCUUGUCUGCCCCCAGGAAUUUUCCUGUGACUCUGCUGCUGUGGAUGCCCGGAGACUGCAGGAAAAAGACAUUGAAGAUUAAAUUUCAAGAGAUUUCACCUCUACUUUCAAGUUACACUGCUGCCAGACGACAGAUCACUGGCCCAUUUGGCUUAUAAAAGAUUUGCUCCUACUGUACUUUGCUCUACUGCAUUGAGAUCUUUUAUUAACAUCUAACUACAGCAGCCUUAUGUCUCUGGACUGCAAAUAAGAAUUACUCUGGGAGAGGUCUGGAAUUUGUUCCAUUAUAUACUGGAGUGGGGCCAACAGCUGACGACUUGAUUUUGAGUCUAGUGACAGAUUUAGUAUCUGUUUGCUCAAGAAACCAAGACAUUUGAAAUAUGUGCAAAGCCUGUACUAUUCCGUGAGAGCUGAGAUAUUAUUAUAACCUGAAACUUUAGUCAUCAUCUUCUAAGUUUGAAAACAAUUGGUGGUAUUGAAUGGGAACAUUAUGUGAGAGCUCACAUGCAUCUAAAAAGAAAAUGAAAUAAAAAUAUUGGUUUUUUUUUCCUCA